AUUGGACGCUGGCGGCAUGCUUUACACAUGCAAGUCGAACGGUAACAGGCCGCAAGGUGCUGACGAGUGGCGAACGGGUGAGUAAUGCAUCGGAACGUGCCCAGUCGUGGGGGAUAACUACUCGAAAGAGUAGCUAAUACCGCAUACGAUCUAUGGAUGAAAGCGGGGGACCGUAAGGCCUCGCGCGAUUGGAGCGGCCGAUGUCAGAUUAGGUAGUUGGUGGGGUAAAGGCUCACCAAGCCAACGAUCUGUAGCUGGUCUGAGAGGACAACCAGCCACACUGGGACUGAGACACGGCCCAGACUCCUACGGGAGGCAGCAGUGGGGAAUUUUGGACAAUGGGCGCAAGCCUGAUCCAGCAAUGCCGCGUGCAGGAAGAAGGCCUUCGGGUUGUAAACUGCUUUUGUACGGAACGAAACGGCUCUGGUUAAUACCCGGGGCUAAUGACGGUACCGUAAGAAUAAGCACCGGCUAACUACGUG
rnacentral:rRNA from 1 species